rnacentral:tRNA from 1 species
UCCCUGAUGGCUCAGUGGUAAAGAAACUGCCUGCAACGCAGGAGACACAGGUUCAAUCCCUGGUCCGGAAG